GGAAGGUUGGCCUAGUGGUUAAGGCCUUGGACUGUGCCUCAAGAGAUCUGGGUUCAAUUCCUAGCUCUGCCA
rnacentral:tRNA from 1 species